GUGAAUCAUCAAAUUUUUGAACGCAACUUGCACUCUCUGGUAUUCCGGAGAGUAUGCCUGUUUGAGGGUCAGUUUCAAUAAAUUUCGGUGUGGUUGCUGCCUUUUGUGGUGAUGCACUGGAUGUGGGUCGUCUUGCCUUCGGUUAUGUGACCUUAAAUUUUGCAUGAUUUCUUUGUAUACAUUUAAUUGAUUUUACGUACGUUUGCGAUAUCGAAUCUUAGGUGCGGUUAUCAUCAUGACACGCGCUUAUAAUUUCUCAUU
rnacentral:misc_RNA from 1 species